GUUCUUGUGGGCUCUAUGGGAAGGGCUUCUGGGAUUUCCUAACGUUGGGGGAAGGGCUGCAGAUAGCACUGCACCCUUCUGUGGGGGCAGAGCAGUAGAUGCCAGGCCCCAAAUCCAGCUCGCAUCGCUCCUCCUCAGACCAUCAUCCAUCUCCUCAUCUGACCAACAGGAAAGAGCCAAGAACAGGUGAAUUAUCCAGCAGUGGUGGUUCAUGACUAUUACCACAGACAGAAGAAUUGUACAUUUGGGUUCUGGCUUGGAGGAAGGAACAAAACGAAACCGGUGAAUGUAAGUUGUGCCUUCUGUGGGUCCGUCUUGUGCGCUCUCCAUUGUUCUUCAAGGCGGCUCCUGGGGACUCUGACAACCCUGAGAUCUGAGAACGUUGGCAUCUGAUUGGCAUCAGGUGCUUUGAGGGCCAACGAUGACUUGAUACUGAAUAAAGUAAUGCAAUUCCCACUCACCUUAUUUAACCUCACUGGGUUGGUGGAAGCAACUACCCAUAGCUGAGAGAUAAAAACACAAAGACUGAGGUCUCUCCUCCCAGCCCACCCCCAUCCCCUAAUUCAGUGUGGACCCAGAGUUCCCUUACCCCUUUCCCACAACCCCUCUCAGCCACUAUUUCUAGCACAUAUCCAUUCCUUUGUGAUUUCUUCUGGCUCAUAAAGACACUCUCUAUCAGGUACCCCAUAACCACCACACUUGGCUAGGACCCAGAGCAUGCAGUAAGCGACCAAAGAAUGGGACACCCACCCAAUAAGUGUGAGACCAGAUCUCUACACCAAGAAAUACUCCAAAGGGC
rnacentral:lncRNA from 1 species